GAGGUGUCUGGCCACCGUGCUCAGCCUCAUCCGUCUUCUUCUUGGCAGGAGGGGCUGCCUGACCGCUGACCCCCGCUGAGAGCUGCAGCAUCCAUCACAACAUGCUAGGCCGAGGUUUCACUCCACGUUGCAGAGCUGUUUGGAAACUUCGGGUGAAGACCGACACCGGAGGAAAAGGUGGGAAAAGCGGCCGCCUGCAGCAGGAAGCGCCUCCACACCUCACGCCUGUAAUUAGAGACGGAGCGAACGUUUCCAGUGACAGGUAACGGAGCAGAUCGGUUAAUUGCAAAUGAAUGCGCACACCCCCGUCUCCAUUAGGCAUAAAUAAUUUGGCCACUUGGGUACGUGCCUCCCAAAUUACUUAUUCUUUUUGUGUCUCAAAUUACCUAUUCUUUCUGAUGUUGCCUUUUAGCUGAUUAGCGAGCUAGCUAGCGCACCACUCGCCCAUUGGCCUUUUCCAGGUUGUUUUUUUUAUUUUUUUAUUAUUUUUCAUAAGGUGAAGAAGUGUUUUGCUUUUGUUUGUGCUCUUUUAUUACAUGCAUGCAUGAUAAUUUAUGCAGUUAUUCCCAACUUUUGCUCUUGCCUCUUCUCUCACACCUUGUAUGAUUCCUUUUUUUUUUUUUUUUUUUGCCGCUCGGGGACGUAGGAUGAAUAUUAAAAUAUUAAAUACAGUGGCCUUAUUGCUUUGUUUUCAUCUGGCACACAUAUAGCCAGUGCAUAUAAGCCACAAAUCUUCCACGUUCAUGAAAGAUUUAUUCUUCCUGCGUGUUUCUAAUAUACAUAAACAUUU